rnacentral:lncRNA from 1 species
CUGAUAUUAACCUUUUUUUUUUUUCCUUAAAAUUUUUUUAAUAAUAGCUUUUUGAUUUUUUUUAGAAUACAUGCAAAGAUAGUUUUCGAUAUUCACGCUUGCAAAACCCUAUGUUCCAGGAUUUUCUUGCUCCCUUCCUCUCAACCCUCUCCCCUAAACAGCAAGUAAUCCAAUAUAGGUUAAACAUGUGCAAUUCUAAAUAUAUUUCCCAGUUAAAAUGAGGGCUCCACCCUAGGGAGGGCCCAGCUGCCAUUGCCAGGCUUGUCCUCUUCUACAGAAGGGUAACCUCUGGCUGCCUCUGGCCAAAUUGUAUCAGCCCAGAUUGGCAGGGGAUUAUGUCCUUUCCUAUGGGGGACACACCAGCCAGCCUUUUUUUUUUUUUUUUUAUCUUUUGACCCAGAGAUUUUAUUUUGUCCUGAAUCGCCACCUUGUUGAAAAGAGCCACGUCCAUCAGAAUUGGUGAUCACAUAAUCUUGUUGCCAUGUACAAUCAGCAUCAGUUCAUGUAAGUUUCUCCAGUCUCUCUUGAAUCAUACUGCCAUCAUUUCUUAUAGAGCAAUAAUAUUCCAUAACAUUCAUAUACCAUAACUUACUCAGCCGUUCUCCAACUGAUUGACACCUGUUCAGUUUCUAAUUCUUAGCCACUACAAACAGUGCUGCCACAAACAUUUUUGCACAUGUGGGUCUCUUUCCCUCUUUGGGAUACAGACCCAGUAGUAACAUUGCUGGAUCAAAGGGUAUGCACAGUUUGAUAGUCCUUUGAAGGUAGAUUCAAAUUGCUUCAGAAUGGGUGGAUCAUUUCACAACUACCAGCAAUGUAUCUAUGUCCCAGUUUUCCCACAUCCCCUCCAACAUUCUUCAUUAUCUUUUCCUGUCAUUUUAAGACAUCUGAGAGGUGUGUAGUGUACCUCAUUUUUCAAAUGAGAAAACAUUGGACUUCACAAUGGUAGGACACAAGAUCAGGACAAAUCACGCACUACUUCUACCACAAUUGGGGCUGGACUGUCAUGUUUCCACAACCUGAGAGACCUGCAGAUUGGGGUUCAUAAUUCAAGAUGGCGCUGAUUAUGAGCCUUCUUGUAGUAGGGCGGGAC